CCGAAUGGGGAAACCCAGUGUGAYUCGUCACACUAUCAUUAACUGAAUCCAUAGGUUAAUGAGGCGAACCGGGGGAACUGAAACAUCUAAGUACCCCGAGGAAAAGAAAUCAACCGAGAUUCCCCCAGUAGCGGCGAGCGAACGGGGAGGAGCCCAGAGCCUGAAUCAGCAUGUGUGUUAGUGGAAGCGUCUGGAAAGGCGCGCGAUACAGGGUGACAGCCCCGUACACAAAAGCGCAUGUGCUGUGAGCUCGAUGAGUAGGGCGGGACACGUGGUAUCCUGUCUGAAUAUGGGGGGACCAUCCUCCAAGGCUAAAUACUCCUGACUGACCGAUAGUGAACCAGUACCGUGAGGGAAAGGCGAAAAGAACCCCGGCGAGGGGAGUGAAAAAGAACCUGAAACCGUGUACGUACAAGCAGUGGGAGCGGGUAACACUAACUGGAGGACCGAACCGACUAAUGUUGAAAAAUUAGCGGAUGACCUGUGGCUGGGGGUGAAAGGCCAAUCAAACCGGGAGAUAGCUGGUUCUCCCCGAAAGCUAUUUAGGUAGCGCCUCGUGAAUUCAUCUCCGGGGGUAGAGCACUGUUUCGGCUAGGGGGCCAUCCCGGCUUACCAACCCGAUGCAAACUGCGAAUACCGGAGAAUGUUAUCACGGGAGACACACGGCGGGUGCUAACGUCCGUCGUGAAGAGGGAAACAACCCAGACCGCCAGCUAAGGUCCCAAAGUCAUGGUUAAGUGGGAAACGAUGUGGGAAGGCCCAGACAGCCAGGAUGUUGGCUUAGAAGCAGCCAUCAUUUAAAGAAAGCGUAAUAGCUCACUGGUCGAGUCGGCCUGCGCGGAAGAUGUAACGGGGCUAAACCAUGCACCGAAGCUGCGGCAGCGAAGGCGAGGCCGAAAGGCGUAGUCGAUGGGAAACGGGUUAAUAUUCCCGUACUUGGUGUUACUGCGAAGGGGGGACGGAGAAGGCUAUGUUGGCCGGGCGACGGUUGUCCCGGUUUAAGCGUGUAGGUGUGUGUUCCAGGUAAAUCCGGUUCACUUUAACACUGAGGCGUGAUGACGAGGCACUACGGUGCUGAAGCAACAAAUGCCCUGCUUCCAGGAAAAGCCUCUAAGCAUCAGGUAACAUCAAAUCGUACCCCAAACCGACACAGGUGGUCAGGUAGAGAAUACCAAGGCGCUUGAGAGAACUCGGGUGAAGGAACUAGGCAAAAUGGUGCCGUAACUUCGGGAGAAGGCACGCUGACAUGUAGGUGAAGUGAUUUACUCAUGGAGCUGAAGUCAGUCGAAGAUACCAGCUGGCUGCAACUGUUUAUUAAAAACACAGCACUGUGCAAACACGAAAGUGGACGUAUACGGUGUGACGCCUGCCCGGUGCCGGAAGGUUAAUUGAUGGGGUCAGCGCAAGCGAAGCUCCUGAUCGAAGCCCCGGUAAACGGCGGCCGUAACUAUAACGGUCCUAAGGUAGCGAAAUUCCUUGUCGGGUAAGUUCCGACC
rnacentral:rRNA from 1 species